AUUGAACGCUGGCGGCAUGCCUUACACAUGCAAGUCGAACGGCAGCACGGGUGCUUGCACCUGGUGGCGAGUGGCGAACGGGUGAGUAAUACAUCGGAACGUACCUUAUCGUGGGGGAUAACGCAGCGAAAGCUGUGCUAAUACCGCAUACGCCCUGAGGGGGAAAGCGGGGGAUCGCAAGACCUCGCGCGAUUAGAGCGGCCGAUGCCUGAUUAGCUUGUUGGUGGGGUAAAAGCCCACCAAGGCGACGAUCAGUAGCUGGUCUGAAAGUACGGGCAGCCACACUGGGACGGGUACACGGCCCAGACUCCUACGGGAGGCAGCAGUGGGGAAUUUUGGACAAUGGGGGCAACCCUGAUCCAGCAAUGCCGCGUGAGUGAAGAAGGCCUUCGGGUUGUAAAGCUCUUUUGUCAGGGAAGAAACACCGGCUCUAACACAGUCCGGGAAUGACGGUACCUGAAGAAUAAGCACCGGCUAACUACGUGCCAGCAGCCGCGGUAA
rnacentral:rRNA from 1 species